ensembl:lncRNA
AUGGACUUGCUAAAACCGAAUCCCGCACUCAUCCUGCAUCGACAUAACAUAGAAGGAGAAUCGCUGUGGAUCAGAGAAGUCCAGAUUUUUACCCUGAAUCACACGCGAGGGCAAAGGCGGACAAUACAGCAGCACCAGGAAGUCUGCAGGGGAUGUGUGACGGUGGACUGUGCGCCCCUCUUGAAUUAAAGACAAAGGGACAUAGGCUGGGACUGUGGUAGACACCCCUAGCGUCCCCCAGACUUCUAUCUGCUCCAUCGGCAGAUGAGCCAGAUAAAGACGUGUGUGCUCUGGAGGAAAUGAACCCUAGUGACCCACAGCCCUGUAAACAGCUGGAAAAGAGCCCCUGACUUUCUCUCUCAUUUUUUUACAUGUCAUGUCUUCCCUCCCGCAUUGGCUCUCAUUCUGCUCGAUCUUCCAGUCCAAGGUUACUCUUUUUCCCCAAAUCUCUUUAUCUCUCUCUUGGAGUCUCUCUUUCUCUGUCACCCCUGCCAUUGUCCAGCACAAUCCCAGGCCAGAAUAAUCAGUCCCGCCUUUGAUUACGCCACUCUGCCUUAGUGAGGAAUGCAUUGAAGGGAACUUUAUCAGCACUGUAUAACAUCAGCACUUUCUCUCCGACCCUGAGAUAAUUGAAGGUGGUACUCCAGGAAGCCCUGAAAGAGCCCUUGUCUGGGCUGGGGGAGGCCAGGCGCAGAGGGUGGGCGCAGGAGGGUGGGGGGCUGGGUGUGAGAGCAGGAAAC